rnacentral:rRNA from 1 species
GAUGAACGCUGGCGGCGUGCCUAAUACAUGCAAGUCGAGCGAACAGAUGAGGAGCUUGCUCCUCUGACGUUAGCGGCGGACGGGUGAGUAACACGUGGAUAACCUACCUAUAAGACUGGGAUAACUUCGGGAAACCGGAGCUAAUACCGGAUAAUAUAUUGAACCGCAUGGUUCAAUAGUGAAAGACGGUUUUGCUGUCACUUAUAGAUGGAUCCGCGCCGCAUUAGCUAGUUGGUAAGGUAACGGCUUACCAAGGCAACGAUGGGUAGCCGACGUGAGAGGGUGAUCGGCCACACUGGAACUGAGACACGGUCCAGACUCAUACGUGAGGCAGCAGUAGGGAAUCUUCCGCAAUGGGCGAAAGCCUGACGGAGCAACGCCGCGUGAGUGAUGAAGGUCUUCGGAUCGUAAAACUCUGUUAUUAGGGAAGAACAAAUGUGUAAGUAACUAUGCACGUCUUGACGGUACCUAAUCAGAAAGCCACGGCUAACUACGUG